CUAUACAUGCCAUAGUUCAAACAUAGUUCAUCAUAAAAUACCGAGUCGUUGUGGUUGAUAGUGUGGACGAUCUCUGACAUCUUUAGGAUCCUCGACUUUGAUUAAUAAUGCUAUAUAAAAAGAAAAUAAACAAAGUAAGCAUAAUGCUUAGUAAGUUUACAAGUAAAUAAAUAGUAACAUUUAACACAAUUAAUAAUACUCAAGUGACAUAAUCUUUAAUUUCCUCUUUACUUACUUCCUUACUUGUUCUCUUGCUUGUUUACUUAGAUAACUCAUAAUUAUGACUUACUUUUCUCUUGCUGAAACGUUUAUUUUCAAUGGGUAACAUAAUAUACUCUUAAAUCUUAUAACUCACUUGAACUUGCCAUUUAUGCUUUGAACUGAACUUUCAUGAACAUAAGUUAUUUACUAGCCCAUUGAGCCACAUUGGAACAAUAAGGAUACUUGGGUCUCUUUCUAAUAAUAACAUGCCAAAGCCAUGUCCCAAACAUGGUCUUACAUGGGAUGUUUUAUAUACUACCAAUGUCAUAUCCCAGAUAUGGUCUUACAUGGGAGUUCUCAUAUCGGUUCCCAUGCCAUGUCCCAAACAUGGUCUUACGGGGGACCUCUCAUCUCGGUGUCAAUGCCAUGUCCCAGACAUGGUCUUACAUAGGACCUCUCGUCUCGGUGCCAACGCCAUGUCCCAGACAUGGUCUUACAUGGGACCUCUCAUGAUCUCAAGGAUGCCAAUGCCAUGUCCUAGACAUGGUCUUACAUGGGAUCUCUUUACCAAAAUGUCAUGACAUUUGUAUCCAAUACCUUCCUUAUGUUUCAACGGGACUUUUUAAUAUCAAUUCUCUAUAGUCUCAUACUUGAGUCAACAUUAAAUAAAUUCAUAAAAUAAAUACAUAAUUACUGGAAAAUAGCAGCAUUAAUAAUAAUUAUUAAAAUAUUACAUUUAUUUACCGUAAACUUACCUCGGUACCAAAUAUAGUCAAAUCUACCACUUAGUCUUCAAUCUUAUUCUUUCCUCAAUCUAACCAAGAAUUCCGUUCUUCUUGAUCUAUAAUAGCAAAUUUAACUUAUUUAAUACUCACAUUCAUUAAAAUAGCCCUUGAUUCUAACUUUGGUAAAAUUACAAUUUUGCUCCUAAACUUUUACAUAAUUACACUUUUACCCCAAAGCUCGGAAAUUAAACUUCAUCUCUUAUUCUUAUGUUUUACAACAUGCUGAACAUUUUUCUCUUCUAUGACAACAUCAAAUUUUCACUCUAACAUCUACUUAUGAACAUUAGGUAUUUUACCGAUUAUGGAGUUUUACUCGUUUUCGCUUAAAAUCGACUAGCAAAAGUUGUUUAACAUAAUUUCUAGCUUCAUAUUAUACCUUAAAAUAUCAAAAUAAACACUUUUCACCUAUGGGUAUUAUUCCAAAUAUAAACCCUAGGUAAAAUUAUUGCUAGAAUAAGCUAAAUUAAGCUACCGAGAUCUCAAAAACGUAAAGAACAUUAAAAACAGGGCUUGGAGUCACUUACUAUGAGCUUGAGAAAGCGUGAAAACCCUAGCUAUGGUGUCCUUCAA
rnacentral:lncRNA from 1 species